rnacentral:rRNA from 1 species
ACUCAAAGGAAUUGACGGGGGCCCGCACAAGCAGCGGAGCGUGUGGUUUAAUUCGACGCAACGCGAAGAACCUUACCAGGACUUGACAUCGCCUGGAAUAGUGCGGAAACGUGCUAGUCCUUCGGGACCAGGUGACAGAUGCUGCAUGGCUGUCGUCAGCUCGUGCCGUGAGGUGUUGGGUUAAGUCCCGCAACGAGCGCAACCCUCGUCGCUAGUUGAAUGUUCUAGCGAGACUGCCGGGAUAAACUCGGAGGAAGGUGGGGAUGACGUCAAGUCAUCACGGCUCUUACGUCCUGGGCUACACACACGCUACAAUGGGUGGUACAAAGGGUCGCGAUAGCGCGAGCUGGAGCCAAUCCCAAAAAGCCAUCCUCAGUUCAGAUCGGAGGCUGCAACUCGCCUCCGUGAAGGCGGAGUUGCUAGUAACCGCCGGUCAGCACACGGCGGUGAAUACGUUCCCGGGCCUUGCACACACCGCCCGU